rnacentral:rRNA from 1 species
UGUGGAAGAGUGGCGAACGGGUGAGGAACACGUAAGAAUCUGCCCCUCGGUCGGGGACAACUUUUGGAAACGAAAGCUAAUACCCGAUACGCUGUGGAGUGAAAGAAUUUCGCCGAGGGAUGAUCUUGCGUCUGAUUAGCUAGUUGGUGCGGUAAUGGCGCACCAAGGCGACGAUCAGUAGCUGGUCUGAGAGGAUGAACAGCCACAUUGGAACUGAGACACGGUCCAAACUCCUACGGGAGGCAGCAGUGGGGAAUUUUCCGCAAUGGACGAAAGUCUGACGGAGCGACGCUGCGUGAAGGAUGACGGCCUGCGGGUUGUAAACUUCUUUUCUCGAAGAAGAAGCUCUGACGGUAUUCGAGGAAUAAGCAUCGGCUAACUCCGUGCCAGCAGCCGCGGUAAGACGGAGGAUGCAAGUGUUAUUCGGAAUGAUUGGGCGUAAAGCGUCUGUAGGCUGUAUAGAAAGUCUUUUGUUAAAUACCUCGGCUCAACCGAGAUCCAGCAAAGGAAACUUCUAUACUUGAGGUAAGUAGAGGUACAGGGAAUUCCCGGUGGAGCGGUGAA